GUGGGUGAUUAGCUCAGCUGGGAGAGCACCUCCCUUACAAGGAGGGGGUCGGCGGUUCGAUC
rnacentral:tRNA from 2 species